GCUUACCAUGCAGUCGAACGAUGAACCACUUCGGUGGGGAUUAGUGGCGAACGGGUGAGUAACACGUGGGCAAUCUGCCCUGCACUCUGGGACAAGCCCUGGAAACGGGGUCUAAUACCGGAUACUGACCAUUGGGGGCAUCCGUGGUGGUCGAAAGCUCCGGCGGUGCAGGAUGAGCCCGCGGCCUAUCAGCUUGUUGGUGAGGUAGUGGCUCACCAAGGCGACGACGGGUAGCCGGCCUGAGAGGGCGACCGGCCACACUGGGACUGAGACACGGCCCAGACUCCUACGGGAGGCAGCAGUGGGGAAUAUUGCACAAUGGGCGAAAGCCUGAUGCAGCGACGCCGCGUGAGGGAUGACGGCCUUCGGGUUGUAAACCUCUUUCAGCAGGGAAGAAGCGAAAGUGACGGUACCUGCAGAAGAAGCGCCGGCUAACUACGUGCCAGCAGCCGCGGUAAUACGUAGGGCGCGAGCGUUGUCCGGAAUUAUUGGGCGUAAAGAGCUCGUAGGCGGCUUGUCACGUCGGUUGUGAAAGCCCGGGGCUUAACCCCGGGUCUGCAGUCGAUACGGGCAGGCUAGAGUUCGGUAGGGGAGAUCGGAAUUCCUGGUGUAGCGGUGAAAUGCGCAGAUAUCAGGAGGAACACCGGUGGCGAAGGCGGAUCUCUGGGCCGAUACUGACGCUGAGGAGCGAAAGCGUGGGGAGCGAACAGGAUUAGAUACCCUGGUAGUCCACGCCGUAAACGGUGGGCACUAUGUGUGGGCAACAUUCCACGU
rnacentral:rRNA from 1 species